AUUGAACGCUGGCGGCAGGCCUAACACAUGCAAGUCGAACGCGUGGCGGACGGGUGAGUAAUGUCUGGGAAACUGCCCGAUGGAGGGGGGUAACUACUGGAAACGGUAGCUAAUACCGCAUACCAUCGGAUGUGCCCAGACGGGAUUAGCUAGUAGGUGGGGUAACGGCUCACCUAGUCGACGUGCCCUAGCAGGUCUGAACGGAUGACCAGCCACACUGGAACUGAGACACGGUCCAGACUGCUACGGGAGGCACCAGUGGGGAAUAUUGCACAUUGGGCGCAACCCUGAUGCAGCCAUGCCGCGUGUGUGAAGAAGGCCUUCGGGUUGUAAAGUACUUUCAGCGAGGAGACGUUACUCGCAGAAGAAGCACCGGCUAACUACGUGCCAGCAGCCGCGGUAAUUC
rnacentral:rRNA from 1 species